rnacentral:rRNA from 1 species
AUUGAACGCUGGCGGCAUGCUUUACACAUGCAAGUCGAACGGUAACAGGCCGCAGGGUGCUGACGAGUGGCGAACGGGUGAGUAAUGCAUCGGAACGUGCCCAGUCGUGGGGGAUAACGCAGCGAAAGCUGUGCUAAUACCGCAUACGAUCUGUGGAUGAAAGCGGGGGACCGUAAGGCCUCGCGCGAUUGGAGCGGCCGAUGUCAGAUUAGGUAGUUGGUGGGGUAAAGGCUCACCAAGCCGACGGUCUGUAGCUGGUCUGAGAGGACGACCAGCCACACUGGGACUGUGACACGGCCCAGACUCCUACGGGAGGCAGCAGUGGGGAAUUUUGGACAAUGGGCGCAAGCCUGAUCCAGCAAUGCCGCGUGCAGGAAGAAGGCCUUCGGGUUGUAAACUGCUUUUGUACGGAGCGAAAAGGCUCUCUCUAAUACAGGGGGCUCAUGACGGUACCGUAAGAAUAAGCACCGGCUAACUACGUGCCAGCCGCCGCCGUAAAAC